GCUGUAUAGCUAGCUUAUUCACCAAGACCAACACAACAACAUUAAAAAUUCUUACACAACUCCAAUUAAUAUUAACCAAAACAUUUUCCCGCCCAAGUAUGUGCGACAGAAAAGGCAUCUAUUUAAGCGACAGAAAAAGUACCGCAAGGGAACGCUGAAAGAGAAGUGAAACAAAUCAUAAAAGCACAACAAAGCAGAGAUUAACCCUCGUACCUUUUGCAUCAUGAUUUAGCCACCUCCUCCGAGCAAAACGUAUUUUAGUUCGAAACCCCGAAACUAAGUGAGCUACCCCGAGACAGUCUAUUAAUUAGGACCAACCCGUCUCUGUGGCAAAAGAGUGGGAAGAUCUCCGGGUAGGGGUGACAGACCUACCGAACUUAGUUAUAGCUGGUUGCCUAAGAAAUGAAUAGAAGUUCAGCCUCAUGCUCCUUAUGUCAGAAACUAUUUAAAACCACAUGAAUCAAAGAAAUACAUGAGAGUUAGUCAAAGGAGGUACAGCUCCUUUGAAGCAGGACACAACCUCACCAGGAGGUUAAAGAUUAUACUAAAUAAGAUAAACCGCUUUAGUGGGCCUAAAAGCAGCCAUCUAAACAGAAAGCGUUAAAGCUCGGGCGGAAUACAAAUCUAUUAUCCAAAUAUUAUAUCUAAAACCCCUAACCAUAUUAGGCUAUUCCAUGCCAACAUGGAAGAAACGCUGCUAAAAUGAGUAAUAAGAAAGAACCCCUUUCUCCUAAGCCCAUGUGUACACUAGAUCGGACCAACCACUAGUAAUUACCGAACCCAACCAUAGAGGGAAAUAUGACUAUAUAAAAGACCAAGAAAUACUCAUAUGACCAGAUCGUUAACCCCACACCGGAGGGCAACUAGGAAAGACUAAAAGAAAAGGAAGGAACUCGGCAAAUAUAAGCCUCGCCUGUUUACCAAAAACAUCGCCUCCUGCAAAAACAACGUAUAGGAGGUCUUGCCUGCCCAGUGACUAGUUAAACGGCCGCGGUAUUUUGACCGUGCGAAGGUAGCGCAAUCACUUGUCUUUUAAAUGAAGACCUGUAUGAAUGGUGGAACGAGGGCUUAACUGUCUCCCCUUUCAAGUCAAUGAAAUUGAUCUGCCCGUGCAGAAGCGGGCAUACUCCUACAAGACGAGAAGACCCUUUGGAGCUUAAGAUGUAAGACCAACUAUGUUAAGAAUAAUCUAAAUAAAUUAAACUAAAUAGCAACUGGUCCCUAUCUUCGGUUGGGGCGACCACGGGAGAAAAUGAAGCUCCCACGUGGACUGGGGAUACCCCCUAAAACUAAGAGAGACAUCUCUAAGUCACAGAAUUUCUGACCAUAAAGAUCCGGCCAUCGGCCGAUCAACGGACCAAGUUACCCUAGGGAUAACAGCGCAAUCCCCUUCCAGAGUCCAUAUCGACAAGGGGGUUUACGACCUCGAUGUUGGAUCAGGACAUCCUAAUGGUGCAGCCGCUAUUAAGGGUUCGUUUGUUCAACGAUUAAAGUCCUACGUGAUCUGAGUUCAGACCGGAGUAAUCCAGGUCAGUUUCUAUCUGUAAUGCCACUUUUCCUAGUACGAAAGGAUCGGAAAAAGGGGGCCCAUAUUCCAAACACGCCCCACCCCUAUUUAAUGAAACCAACUAAAUUAAAUAAAGGGAGGGCACAACCAUAAAUCAAGAUAAGAUUU
rnacentral:rRNA from 1 species